GACGAACCGUGCGAACGUUAUUCGGAAUCACUGGGCUUAAAGCGCGUGUAGGCGGGGUGGCACGUCCGGCGCUGAAAUCCCCCGGCUCAACCGGGGAACGGGCGCGGAUACGACCGCCCUGGAGGGACGUAGGGGGACCUGGAACUUCCGGUGGAGCGGUGAAAUGCGUUGAGAUCGGAAGGAACGCCGGUGGCGAAAGCGACACACUGGGUCUCAACUGACGCUGAGGCACGAAAGCCAGGGGAGCGAACGGG
rnacentral:rRNA from 1 species